GCCGGCCCCCGAGGCCCACGCCCUCCAACUUUCCAGAAUGUGGGGUGGGGGGCCGGGGGCAGCCCUUCUCAGUAGGGACUGGGACCCCUGAGUCUCAAGGGCCUGGGCUUAGCUCUCUGCGGAGCCCCGUGAGCCGGAAGCAUGGAGGAGGGGAGGAAAUGUCCAUCUGCACGGGGCCCACUGGGCCUGCAGACAGGGCGCAGGAAGAAAAAUAAAGCAGGUGUCGAAGGGGCCUCCUGAACCAAGAGAAAACAGCGCCUGCCUGGGAGAAAUGACAAAUCACAGCUGGCGGAUCAAUCUGCGUAUGCACAGCCCUUCCCCAAGCCCACGCCGAGCAGCAGGAACCGGGACCCCGGCCCCAGGCUGGGCCCUCCCAGCCUCUCUUUCCAGCCUCUCCUGCAGAGGCUGAGCAGGGCCUCCGUGCCCCCCACCCAGCCCUGACUCCUCAGCAGGGAGGAGCAAGGUGUUUGUCUGUAUUUGGAACACAGGGCAAGAGGGUGCAGAGGGAGCCUCCGAACAUCUGCCUAGGACUCUGGAUGAAUCAGAAGGAAAGGCACCAGUUAACCUCUUGAUCUCACAUCCAGCCAUCCAGAGCUGAGUCUGUGCAUAUGGAGGGGUUCAAAUGCACUGAAAGUGCAUUUUCGUCACCUGGGCAAGGUGUGUCACACCUGUAAUCCCAGCACUUUGGGAGGCCAAGAAAGGAAGAUUGCUUGAGGCCAGGAGUUCAACAUCAACCUGGGCAAAAUAGUGAGACCCUGCCUUUAUAAAAAUUUUUAAAAAUUAGCUCAGUGUGGUGGUGCGCCUGUAGUCCCAGUUACUUGGGAGGCUGAGGCAGGAGGAUUGCUUGAACCCAGGAGCCCAGGCUGUAGUGAGCCAUGAACAUGAUCACACCACUGCACUCCAGCCUGGGCAACAGAGUGAGACCUUGUCUCUUAAAACAACAACUGGGCCGGGCGCGGUGGCUCAUGCCUGUAAUCCUGGUCAGGGGUUCAAGACCAGCCUGACCAACAUGGUGAAACCCUGUCUCUACUAAAAAAUACAAAAAUUAGCCAGGCAUGGUGGCACGUGCCCUGUAAUACCAGCUACUCAGGAGGCUGAGGCAGGAGAAUUGCUUGAACCUGGGAGGCAGAGGUUGCAGUGAGCUGAGAUCAUGCCAUUGCACUCCAGCUUGGGUGACAGAGCAAGACUCUGCCUCAAAAAACAACAACAACAACAACAAAAAACCCCAAAGAAAACCCAAAAAAUGCAUUUUGGGACCUGUGGGUUCAAGGGAAGGGAGUGCGGUCAUGGCUACUCUUGGAAUUACCAGUUCUCCUUUCUUACUCUAAAGGCAGACAGAGCCUCCUGACAUCCCCCUUGCUGUGGCUUCCUGCUGGUGACAUCAACAGGUGGUACAGGUACCUGCCGGGUGAUGGCCCAAAUGCCCCUUGUCCUGCCUUUAGCCAACCUCACUCCCUGAUCCCCAUCAGCAGCUGUAAUGGCAGCUGACAAGCAAGAGCCAUUCCUUUCCCAGUUUAAUGUAUUUGACUCCUGCAUAGGAAGUAACCUCAUGGAGUACGAGAAAGCCUGAGAUGGUUCUUCAGCCUCCCCAGCAAAGUGCUCCUAACAGUGCAGUGGGAUGGGUGUGGGCACAGGAAGUGAGGUGUCGGGGAGCCAGCGCAGGCUAGAGGGAAGCCCCCAGUGAAGCGUUUCAGAAGUGUCCUGCUUAACCCUGAAAGUGGACUUGAAGUCUCUAUGUGUAAAAUGCCAGGUGCUCCUACAGUUCCCCGUGUGCUGGGAAUCCACAACCAUGGUGUCCUCCGGCUUCGCUGGCCAGCCUGGCACAUUCCUGGGGGCGGGGCUGGAAGUCCUUGGAAGAGAAACUAGGUCCUUGACCAGCCUCCUGCACAUGGGCACAGCCUGGACCACACUCCUGAAAACCACUCUACUAGCAUUUGCCUGCUCUGCGGGACAUUCAUACCUGUUUGUUUUCUGCCGUCCAGCUUCCUAACCGCCUUCAAGGUCCCCUGAGACCAGGAGAGAGAAGGAAAUCCUAACAACCCCAGAGAAGGCCUGCAGUAGGUUGGAGCGCACUAGGGCCUGCAGCCACACUUCUUACUGAGAGUCCUGCUGUCAAAAGCCCUUGUGUGUUCCUACCUGCCACACUAAGCAUGAAUGGGAAGUCCGCAGCAGCAGCCUGGACGAGGGAGGGUCAAGAAGAAGGUGUUCCAACUAUUUGCUUUAAUAAAAACGUUUACUAGAAACACUAGAAAGUGUUUUCCCCCUCCCGCUCCCCCUCUCCCUCUCCCUCUCCCUCUCCCCACGGUCUCCCUCUCCCUCUCUUUCUACGGUCUCCCUCUGAUGCCGAGCCAAAGCUGGACUGUACUGCUGCCAUCUCGGCUCACUGCAACCUCCCUGCCUGAUUCUCCUGCCUCAGCCUGCCGAGUGCCUGCGAUUGCAGGCACGCACCACCACACCUGACUGGUUUUCGUAUUUUUUUGGUGGAGACGGGAUUUCGCUGUGUUGGCCGGGCCGGUCUCCAGCUCCUAACCGCGAGUGAUCCGCCA
rnacentral:lncRNA from 1 species